rnacentral:rRNA from 1 species
AAUAUUGGAAAUUGGGGGGAACCCUGAUCCAGCCAGGCAGCGAGAUUGAAGAUGGUCUACGGUUANAAAAGCAUUUUAAGGAGGAANAUAUGGAUGUAGGCAACUACCUUCCAAUUUUGUAGACACCAACAGAAGAAACACCCGAUAACUUCGUGCCAGCCUCCGCGGUAAUACGAAGGGUGCAAGCGUUAAACGGAAUUACUGGGCGUAAAGCGCGCGUAGGUGGUUCGUUAAGUUGGGAGUGAAAGCCCCGGGCUUAACCUGGGAAUUGCUUUCAAAACUGACGAGCUAGAGUACGGUAGAGGGUAGUGGAAUUUCCUGUGUAGCGGUGAAAUGCGUAGAUAUAGGAAGGAACAUCAGUGGCGAAGGCGACUACCUGGACUGAUACUGACACUGAGGUGCGAAAGCGUGGGGAGCAAACAGG